GAGAGAGAGAGAGAUAGAGAGAGAGAGAGAGAGAGAGAGAGAGAGAGAGAGAUUAAUCAUUUUCAUGUAUUAAGAUUUUGUCUUGGCAAUUUAAUGUCUCGGACAUCUAGUGUGGGAUAGUUUCUUAUCCAUGUAAAGCAAACUGCCUCUGAUUCUUGUCUGUGUUUUAGAGCUCUGAAAACAUUGAAAAAUUGACCAUUUUCUGGAAGGUCUUUGAGUCCCUGAUGUGUGUGUAUAAUGCAGUAUCUUUGAAGCUCUCUACCACUCGUGUGCAUGCGGCCCAAUUGUGGCAACCAAAACUAGGUCGGAUUCAAUGAGUAUUUUAAAGCCAGGACUCUAACCGGGACUCGCUGGGAGCAUGAGCCGAAUUCAGCACCACUACUCAGGGAAAUGAGGAAGAGUGGAUAUAUGGAGUGAAAGGUGAAGCAUGAUUUUUGGAGCGCCAGGCGGCGGAUGCAUGUGCAUGUAACAUGGUGGGCCAAGGAGGAAGCAGUUUAUGAAAAUGAAAUAUAAAUUCAAGUAACUUCGUUAGCUUGU